GGCCGGGUGGUGAAAUUGGCAGACGCGUCGGACUCAAAAUCCGAUAUCGGCAACGAUGUGUGGGUUCAAGUCCCACCCCGGCCACCA
rnacentral:tRNA from 1 species